CCCCUGCUUUGCAGAGAGGCUGUUACCGUCGCCCAAACCCAUGAUCUCCAGAUCACAAGCAGAGUAACUUUACAGUUACACCAAAGCCACCCUCUGCAAGGGAUCAUGUAUACCUUUAGAAAAGACUGAUGGGAAGAAAAAGAAAUAUUACAAAUCAUAUACCUUUGAAACACAGUUCCCUCUAUAUUUGCAUUUUUCAUAAACUGAAGUGUAGAAGCCUGAUCUGCUGCAUUAAAUGAUUCCAGAAUGUUCUUGUUCUAUUAUCAAGGAAAAAAAUUGUUAUGUUUUUAAUAGCAGAACAAUAGAGUGUAAGAAGUACUGGUAAAGAAUUUUCUUUAAGUAUAAAGAAUUCCACUUUCAGUCAACAGAUAUUUGGACAUACAAUAUGAUGGAAAGACUACUUGGACAUUUUGAAAUGAAGAAUGAUCAAGACAAUACAAGUAUAAAUUGCUGCGAAUUUUCAUCAUGUAUACAAAUCUAAGUUCACAUGGAUUAUAGAAAGUAUAGUUGUCUUGAGUAAUGAGUUGUAAACCAUAUAGCCAAUUAAUUUAUAGAAAAGAUCAUGGCAUUAAUCUGACAUCACAGCCAUUCUAGUACCAUAAAGUACAGAAUCUCAAAAUAACAUCACAGCCUAAAAUGUACCUCCUCCUCUCUAGUUUUAAAUCAUUUCCAGUGGAAAGACAUAGAAACAAAACUAACCACCUUGACUGGCUUUUGAACACAAGUCUAAAAAGGUUAAGUAGGUGAAAGGAAAAGAGAGGAACAAAAAAUCUGCUGAAUAAUAUAGAUGAAAAACUACUCAAAAACUAAUAAAAGGAAGACAGGUUACCUUGCUAAUGAUCAUUGUCAGAAGUUCAAAACCUAAGCAGAUAGCAUACAACGGAAAAUGGUAUCCUGCAUCGUUCUUGGCUAAAGCUUU
rnacentral:misc_RNA from 1 species